UACGGGGGGUGCAAGCGGUAAUCGGAAUCACUGGGCGUAAAGGGUGCGUAGGCGGUGCAUUAGGUCUGUCGUGAAAUCCCCGGUCUCAACCUGGGAAUGGCGGUGGAAACCGGUGUACUAGAGUAUGGGAGAGGGUGGUGGAAUUCCAGGUGUAGCGGUGAAAUGUGUAGAGAUCUGGAGGAACAUCAGUGGCGAAGGCGGCCACCUGGCCCAAUACUGACGCUGAGGCACGAAAGCGUGGGGAGCAAUCAGG
rnacentral:rRNA from 1 species